rnacentral:tRNA from 1 species
GCCGAAGUCGCCUAAUCUGGUAUGGCAGCAGUCUCGAAAACUGCGUCCUUGUGGACUUCCAGGUUCGAAUCCUGGCUUCGGCG